GGGGCCUGGGGCUGGGCGACAGCAGUGCCUUGGCAGGACACUGAAGAGACUGGAAUGCAGGGCUGUGCUGGGGGGGGGGAGGGGAAAGCAGUCCCCGAAGGCUUUGGGUGCAGAAGAUGGGGCUCCUAGACCUGAUCCGUGGAGCAACAGGCAGGGUUUUGACAAUUUAAAUCUUCCUUCAUAAAUGCCUCUUAGACAAUUCAUGUCCCGUGGUAUAAUGACAGCAUUACAAGAAAUAAUUAUGACCGUACAAGUAUCAUAAACAUUAUUAUGCUGAUAGACAUUUCAUUCUGCAUCUCAAGAAGAAAUUACUGAACUGAGAAAUACUGGUGGUGUAAUUAUUGUAACACAGAUUUUUAGAAAGGAGACAUUUAGGACACACGUGUUACCCAAAUCACGACACCACCACCACGUAAUAACCAAUAGCUUUAGUCUAUGGAACUAAAGUGAAACCGUGGCAGUCUGAAAAAUGCCCGAGAGUUCUUAGGGAUGAUUACAUCACAACGGUCGCAGGCUGGAAGGGAAAAGGGGGUCGUGCGCAACAAUGCCGGCCGUCCCCAGGUUCCCCACUCUGGCUGAGGGCUGGGACUGUCCAGCGGCCCACAGCGCAGAGCGGAGGGACAGGGCUCUUGCACGGGGCAUUGUCUGAAAUCCAAAGGCACAGCCCCUCCCCUGUGGCCGGCUUUAUUUUCACACACUGACGUGUCAAACACAUGACAAACUCAGUCAUUCACGGCUGCCUUUUUUUGAUCUGUCCUUCAGGGGGAAAAAGAGUUAACUGAACUGGAUUGAAUCAGCUUGGUGAAAAAUAAAAUGUCUCUAUUUAU
rnacentral:lncRNA from 1 species